UUUACAGUACCUUGAUAGCCAAAUUCUUAUGGAUGAAUAUCAAAGCAAUUUUGAUUUAGAUGAAGAAAUAACUUCUACAAGUCAAAAAAAAAUUAGAAGUUGGGGCACAAUUUGAAUCAUUUAAUGAUUUGCGAGAAGC